rnacentral:pre_miRNA from 1 species
UUUGUGUGGGAUGUUGGCUGGCUCGAUGCACACCACAGUUUUAUUCAUUCUUUCUUUCUCUACCUAAACUGUGAUUUGUAUCGGACCAGGCUUCAUUCCUCUCAAA